GUAGAGAAUACCAAGGCGAUCGAGUGAACCAUGGUUAAGGAACUCGGCAAAAUGCCCCCAUAACUUCGGGAGAAGGGGGGCCGGAUGCGUUACCUCACUUGCUGGGGGAAGCGUUGAUGGCCGCAGAGACCAGGCCCAAGCGACUGUUUACUAAAAACACAGGUCCGUGCGAAGAAGUAAUUCGAUGUAUACGGACUGACGCCUGCCCGGUGCUGGAACGUUAAGGGGACAGGUUAGCUGGUUUAGGCCGGCGAUGCUUUGAACUUAAGCGCCAGUAAACGGCGGUGGUAACUAUAACCAUCCUAAGGUAGCGAAAUUCCUUGUCGGGUAAGUUCCGACCUGCACGGAUGGCGUAACAACUUGGGCGCUGUCUCAACCAUGGACUCGGCGAAAUUGCAUUACGAGUAAAGAUGCUCGUUACGCGCAGCAGGACGGAAAGACCCCGGGACCUUUACUACAACUUGGUAUUGGUGGUCGGUACAACUUGUGUAGGAUAGGUGGGAGACUGUGAAAUCCGGACGCCAGUUCGGGUGGAGUCAUCGUUGAAAUACCACUCUGGUUGUUCUGGCUGUCUAACUUCGGUCCAUUAUCUGGAUCAGGGACAGUGCCUGGUGGGUAGUUUGACUGGGGCGGUCGCCUCCUAAAAGGUAACGGAGGCGCUCAAAGGUUCCCUCAGCCUGGUUGGCAAUCAGGUGUCGAGUGUAAGUGCACAAGGGAGCUUGACUGUGAGACAGACAUGUCGAGCAGGGACGAAAGUCGGAACUAGUGAUCCGGCGGUGGCAUGUGGGAGCACCGUCGCUCAACGGAUAAAAGGUACCCCGGGGAUAACAGGCUGAUCUUCCCCAAGAGUCCAUAUCGACGGGAUGGUUUGGCACCUCGAUGUCGGCUCGUCGCAUCCUGGGGCUGGAGUAGGCCCCAAGGGUUGGGCUGUUCGCCCAUUAAAGCGGCACGCGAGCUGGGUUUAGAACGUCGUGAGACAGUUCGGUCCCUAUCCGCUGCGCGCGCAGGAGACUUGAGAAGGGCUGCCCCUAGUACGAGAGGACCGGGGUGGACGAACCUCUGGUGUGCCAGUUGUUCCGCCAGGAGCACGGCUGGUUGGCUACGUUCGGGAGUGAUAACCGCUGAAAGCAUCUAAGCGGGAAGCACGCUUCAAGAUGAGGUCUCCCACCGAGUUAAUCGGGUAAGGCCCCCAGUAGACCACUGGGUUGAUAGGCCAGAGGUGGAAGCGCCGUAAGGUGUGGAGCUGACUGGUACUAAUAGGCCGAGGGCUUGU
rnacentral:rRNA from 1 species